rnacentral:rRNA from 1 species
CGGAACGGGUGAGUAACGCGUGAGGAACCUGCCUCAAAGGGGGGGACAACAGUUGGAAACGACUGCUAAUACCGCAUAAGCCCACGGCUCGGCAUCGAGCAGAGGGAAAAGGAGUGAUCCGCUUUGAGAUGGCCUCGCGUCCGAUUAGCUAGUUGGUGAGGUAACGGCCCACCAAGGCAACGAUCGGUAGCCGGACUGAGAGGUUGAACGGCCACAUUGGGACUGAGACACGGCCCAG